rnacentral:rRNA from 1 species
AUUGAACGCUGGCGGCAGGCCUAACACAUGCAAGUCGAGCGAGCGGCGGACGGGUGAGUAAUUUCUGGGAAACUGCCUGAUGGAGGGGGAUAACUACUGGAAACGGUAGCUAAUACCGCAUACCAUCAGAUGUGCCCAGAUGGGCUUAGCUAGUAGGUGGGGUAACGGCUCACCUAGGCGACGAUCCCUAGCUGGUCUGAGAGGAUUACCAGCCACACUGGAACUGAGACACGGUCCAGACUCCUACGGGAGGCAGCAGUGGGGAAUAUUGCACAAUGGGCGAAAGUCUGAUGGAGCCAUGCCGCGUGUGUGAAGAAGGCUUUCGGGUUGUAAAGCACUUUCAGCGGGGAGGCGUUACUCGAAGAAGAAGCACCGGCUAACUCCGUGCCAGCAGCCGCGGUAAUAC